AGAAUCCUGAUGAUGCUGCAA
rnacentral:miRNA from 2 species